rfam:Myotis brandtii contig216480, whole genome shotgun sequence.
GAGACACCCUUAUGGAGCAGGACUUGCUUCAGUGGGGCUUUGGCGCCGCUCACUGAGUCUGCCCUGAGUGUGUCUCU